GCUGUGAUGGCUGAGUAUACUUGAAAUCCAGUAGGGUUUCCCUAUGCAGGUUCAAAUCCUGCUCACAGCA
rnacentral:tRNA from 1 species